CGAAGGACCCGAGCGUUAUCCGGAUUUAUUGGGUUUAAAGGGUGCGUAGGCGGAUUAGUAAGUCAGUGGUGAAAGCCCAUCGCUUAACGGUGGAAUUGCCAUUGAUACUGCUAGUCUUGAGUAUGGUUGAGGUGGGCGGAAUGUGUCAUGUAGCGGUGAAAUGCUUAGAUAUGACCCAGAACACCAAUUGCGAAGGCAGCUCGCUAAGCCAUAACUGACGCUGAUGCACGAAAGCGUGGGGAGCAAACAGGAUUAGAUACCCUGGUAGUCCACGCCCUAAACUAUGAUCACUCGUUGUUGGCGAUACACAGUCAGCGACUAAGGGAAACCAUUAAGUGAUCCACCUGGGGAGUACGACCGCAAGGUUG
rnacentral:rRNA from 1 species